UGGGGAAUAUUGCACAAUGGGCGCAAGCCUGAUGCAGCCAUGUCGCGUGUAUGAAGAAGGCCUUCGGGUUGUAAAGUACUUUCAGCGAGGAGGAAGGCGUUGUGGUUAAUAACCGCAGCGAUUGACGUUACUCGCAGAAGAAGCACCGGCUAACUCCGUGCCAGCAGCCGCGGUAAUACGGAGGGUGCAAGCGUUAAUCGGAAUUACUGGGUGUAAAGCGCACGCAGGCGGUCUGUCAAGUCGGAUGUGAAAUCCCCGGGGUCAACCUGGGAACUGCAUCCGAAACUGGCAGGCUAGAGUCUUGUAGAGGGGGGUAGAAUUCCAGGUGUAGCGGUGAAAUGCGUAGAGAUCUGGAGGAAUACCGGUGGCGAAGGCGGCCCCCUGGACAAAGACUGACGCUCAGGUGCGAAAGCGUGGGGAGCAAACA
rnacentral:rRNA from 1 species